CAUGUGGAUGUUGCUGAAAACAUUGCACAUGAUGCUCUUCUUGGUAUUGACAGAAAGGAUACGUCAUAAUUAAUUUGUUCUUUAAAAAGUUGUCUAUAUGUUAAAAUUUCCAAUUUGUUUCUUAGAAGUUGAACAUGGCAAUUGUGAGGUCCAGAUAGCAUCAUGGCAGCACCUUAUCCUGAUGCCAAUAGGCUCUCUGAAUGGUGGUUUUAUGCAUUGGGUGACUUCCACUUUGGUACGAAUCAUCAAGAGGUGACAAGAUGGGCGGGUCAGUAAUGGUUCAAAAUAGGUCAUUUUGUAUAAGUCGAGACGGAAAGGGAGGGGUAUAACUUUGGAUGGAGCCAUGGGAAAGAGAAGCUUGAGUCUAGAAAGCCAGGUAAAAUAAUCGUUAGUAUGUUCGAAUUCUUGAUUCAUGAAGCAUAUGUAUUUUAUUAAUUGCAAAGUUGAUUGUGUGAAAUAUUGGCUUCAAUAUUUUCAAUGAUAGCAUCCAACUCUUUUGAUAUUUGUU